rnacentral:misc_RNA from 1 species
GAUGAAGAACGUAGCGAAAUGCGAUAAGUAGUGUGAAUUGCAGACUUUAGUGAAUCAUCGAAUCUUUGAACGCACAUUGCGCCCCUUGGUAUUCCAUUGGGCAUGCCUGUUCGAGCGUCAUUUACACCCUCAAGCCUAGCUUGGUGUUGGGCGUUGUCCGCAAGGACUCGCCUCAAAUUCAUUGGCAGCGGCAUCGUCAGCUUCUCGCGCAGCACAUUGCGCUUCAGAAGGCUUCUGGCGGGCUCGCGUCCACUAAGAUACCACCCAGUUUGACCUCGAAUCAGGUAGGGAUACCCGCUGAACUUAAGCAUAUCAAUAAGCGGAGG